CUACCAAGGCGACGAUCAGUAGCUGGUCUGAGAGGACGACCAGCCACACUGGAACUGAGACACGGUCCAGACUCCUACGGGAGGCAGCAGUGGGGAAUUUUGGACAAUGGGCGAAAGCCUGAUCCAGCCAUUCCGCGUGAGUGAAGAAGGCCUUCGGGUUGUAAAGCUCUUUCGCAAGGAAAGAAAACUUAUCUCCUAAUACGGGAUGAGGAUGACGGUACCUUGAUAAGAAGCACCGGCUAACUACGUGCCAGCAGCCGCGGUAAUACGUAGGGUGCGAGCGUUAAUCGGAAUUACUGGGCGUAAAGCGUGCGCAGGCUGUUUUGUAAGUCAGAUGUGAGAUCCCUGGGCUCAACCUAGGAACUGCGUUUGAAACUACAAGGCUAGAGUGUAGCAGAGGGGGGUAGAAUUCCACGUGUAGCAGUGAAAUGCGUAGAGAUGUGGAGGAAUACCAAUGGCGAAGGCAGCCCCCUGGGUUAACACUGACGCUCAUGCACGAAAGCGUGGGGAGCAAACAGGAUUAGAUACCCUGGUAGUCCACGCCCUAAACGAUGUCUACUAGUUGUUGGGAGAGUAAAAUCUCUUAGUAACGCAGCUAACGCGUGAAGUAGACCGC
rnacentral:rRNA from 1 species